UCGAGUGGCGAACGGGUGAGUAACACGUGGGUGAUCUGCCUUGCACUUCGGGAUAAGCUUGGGAAACUGGGUCUAAUACCGGAUAGGACAGCUGUUUAGUGUCAGUUGUGGAAAGUUUUUCGGUGCAAGAUGAGCUCGCGGCCUAUCAGCUUGUUGGUGGGGUAAUGGCCUACCAAGGCGUCGACGGGUAGCCGGCCUGAGAGGGUGUACGGCCACAUUGGGACUGAGAUACGGCCCAGACUCCUACGGGAGGCAGCAGUGGGGAAUAUUGCACAAUGGGCGGAAGCCUGAUGCAGCGACGCCGCGUGGGGGAUGAAGGCCUUCGGGUUGUAAACUCCUUUCGACAGGGACGAAGCGUAAGUGACGGUACCUGUAUAAGAAGCACCGGCUAACUACGUGCCAGCAGCCGCGGUAAUACGUAGGGUGCGAGCGUUGUCCGGAAUUACUGGGCGUAAAGAGCUCGUAGGUGGUUUGUCGCGUCGUCUGUGAAAUUCCGGGGCUUAACUCCGGGCGUGCAGGCGAUACGGGCUGACUUGAGUGCUGUAGGGGAGACUGGAAUUCCUGGUGUAGCGGUGAAAUGCGCAGAUAUCAGGAGGAACACCGAUGGCGAAGGCAGGUCUCUGGGCAGUAACUGACGCUGAGGAGCGAAAGCAUGGGUAGCGAACAGGAUUAGAUACCCUGGUAGUCCAUGCCGUAAACGGUGGGCGCUAGGUGUAGGGGGCUUCCACGUCUUCUGUGCCGUAGCUAACGCAUUAAGCGCCCCGCCUGGGGAGUACGCCGCAAGGCUA
rnacentral:rRNA from 1 species